CGGCACUCCGGGUUCGGUCAGGACACCCUUGGUACAGGAUCCGACACCGGCCUUGGCGUCUUCAGAGCGGGCACUCCUGGUUCGGACAGGACACCCCCAGUACCAUCUUUCUCUGUUCUGCAAAUCCUUAGCCCAGAAGCUCUUCACUGCAGAAUGAGGAGUGGGCCUGCUCUCAAAGGAAGACAACUUGGCACUUGUAGGGAUUUUCAAUUCUCAAGGAAACUGGAAGUCAACUGACUGGAGCAGAAGAGCUAAUCACUGAGAGGAGACUACAAAAGUCACUCGUCCUCUGCAGAUUUUAAGGCUCCAGAUUCGCCCCGGUGCUUCUGCCAGCUGCGAGAGGGGACGGGGACUCUGUGAGACAAAGUUCUGCUGCAUGUACAGCUUUUUUCUGCUUUCAAAACGUAGGGCUUGUAGUUGAGAUGAAGCCAUAGGAGGGCUCAUAAGAUGGUUUUAUUUCCCUCUCAAAACAGGGCUCAAUAAUGUCAGGAGUCGCAGGAUCUCAUGCAGCGUUCCGUGAAACACAAUGUGAGUGUUUCCAACUGAGAUUCAACUUCACUGGGUCGCUGUGGUGUGUUUUAAUGAUGUUACUUUGCACCAGGCUGUGGGAUUAGUGCUUAUUCCUGGAUAUUACCAGUGAGACAUUUGCAGUCUUAAAAGCAAGGAAUUACACGUAUCUUGCUUGGGGAAAAAAAGGAGGUAAAUUUUUUGAUGGGGAGCAAGGGAAAGAAUUAAUUUGCAUAGUUCUGAGAUCAGUUCCUAAAAAGUGCAGUAAUAAAAGGCUACCACCAGAUGUCAUCUUAAAGCCAGCUAAUAGAUCCCGAAACAGCAGGGACGGGGAUACUGAGAAUAGCGAGUUACUGGGGUUUUUAAUGGGAUACAAAGUCUCAGGGAUCAUUGGAAUCUAACAUGGUGAAGGACCCCGGAGAUGUUCCAGAGCUGACUUUGCAAAAUCUUGCUGAGAUAAAUCCCAGCAAAAUAAAAAGCACUGCAAUUUAACUUAAAAAAAAAAAAAAAAUCCUAAAGAAAAAUCGUGCUAAACCCCCCUAUUCUGAUACUCAAUUCUGCUUGAAUAUAGAGAGAAGAGACUGAUGGUUCUGGGUAGUUCCAUCUGCUUUGUCACUCAUUAAAAUGUGAUGAAUACAAUAAUAAUUUUUUAAUGACUUAAUUACCAAAGCUUUGCUGCACCCUGUGUUUGAGCUGUCAUUAGAACAGAUGUUUGCAGGUGGUUGAUAUCUAACAUUUGUGAGUGCGGGAAAAUUUUGUGUGAAGAAAAUCCAGGAGGAAAUUAAGAAAACAAGAUGUUUUUGCCCACACAAAAAGUACUUUGUUACCUGUGCAAAGAUGAUUAUAUUUUUUGUAGUUAAACCUAUGGGGAAAGUUUCACUAUUGAUUGAAAUUCUGAGACUAAAUUUAAUCAAGAUUUUGCAAAUAGAGAGAUUUUAAUCCAACUGUAAGAAUAAGUCUUUGUUCAGUAUUUAGAGCUGGUGCUAAUUUGUCCAAUAUCAAACUGCCUCAAGCUGAGUGAGAUCAUGUUGAAAAGACUAGAUGUAAAAUUAAUGAUGAACGACAAUGAGAAAACUUAUGACUAAUAUGAUAUGGCAAAGCUGAGCGACACAUUCUUGUCCAGGACUUUUUUAGUUACAACUCCUCUGGUUUUUAACUGCUUGGGAUUUGGUUAUUCUAUCCAAAACUGUAUAGUAAAUGAAUUUUGUUUGUUGAAGAGUUUCAGUAAAAAUAGCUCUGCCGCUGCCAAAGAUGAGGUCAGGGGGAAAAAAUCAGCCUCUCGCCAAUGUAAAGCAAAACCAAAUCCCCUCACAAGUGUUUAAUGAGACGUUCUCGUCCUGCCGUGCUUUGGAAGGGGUACUUGGAAUCUGGCAGUGCGUCGCAGCAGGAAGAAAGGUAUCUUUUCCCAUACCUGUUACAGGCUGC